CCUACGGGAGGCUGCAGUGGGGAAUAUUGCACAAUGGGGGAAACCCUGAUGCAGCAACGCCGCGUGAGUGAAGAAGGUUUUCGGAUUGUAAAGCUCUGUUAGCAGGGAAGAGGAAGGACGGUACCUGCAGAGGAAGCCACGGCUAACUACGUGCCAGCAGCCGCGGUAAUACGUAGGUGGCAAGCGUUGUUCGGAAUAACUGGGCGUAAAGGAUGCGUAGGCGGUUAAACAAGUUAUAUGUUAAAUAUAUAGGCUUAACCUGUAGAAAGCAUAUAAAACUGUUUAACUAGAGUGCAGGAGAGGUAAGUGGAAUUCCUAGUGUAGCGGUGAAAUGCUUAGAUAUCACGAAGAACUCCGAUUGCGAAGGCAGCUUACUAAACUGCCACUGACAUUGAUGCUCGAAAGUGUGGGUAUCAAACAGGAUUAGAUACCCUGGUAGUC
rnacentral:rRNA from 1 species